rnacentral:rRNA from 1 species
CUACGGGUUGCAGCAGUUAGGAAUAAUCUACAAUGCGCGCAAGCGUGAUAGUUUGAGUCAGAGUGCGCUUCAAAUUGAAGUGCUUUUAUGAAAUCUAAAAAGUUUCAUGAAUAAGGACUGGGUAAGACUAGUGCCAGCCGCCGCGGUAAUACUAGCGGUCCAAGUCGCAGCCAUUUUUAUUGGGUCUAAAACAUCCGUAGCUUGCUUAACAAGUUCCUUGUGAAAUUCUAUAUCUCAAAUAUAGAGCGGGCAGGGAGUACUAUUAAGCUAGAGACUGGAAGACGUAAGAAGUAUGUUCAAAGUAGCGGUAAAAUGUGUUAAUCUUGAACAGACUAACAAUAGCGAAGGCAUCUUACGAGGACAGUUCUGACAGUAAGGGAUGAAGGCUAGGGGCGCAAAACGGAUUAGAUACCCUAGUAGUC